rnacentral:lncRNA from 1 species
AUGGAAUACUUGCCACUCGACAUUAUGAAUAAACCAAUUAAUUAAUACGAAUGGUAAAUCAGAGAGACAUACAGACACCAACAACCAGAAGCAUAUAAAAGAAGUCUAAAUGCAACGUACAGUUUUGAGAAGUGGGGCGAAAUGUCAAGUUGUCUUGGGUGUUUUUCUCAAUUAUUUAUUAUUUUAUUCUCUCUGUAAAAGUAGGAGAAUGCCGCGGGAAUUAGGAACAAACCACGCCAUGACCAUAUCACGAAAAGACAAAAAAAAAAUAGAAUUUUUUUAAAUACUAAGGCUUUUCUACCUCAGGCAUAGAUUACCUUAGCUGUAUUUUGCAAUACUUUCAGGAAUUUUGGAUCUCAAUGCUCUUCAACUUCGUACUUAUUUGGCUUUUUUCAACUUUAUUGGAUUCAAGCGUCACUGAUGAGUCGAGUAUGUCGAGAUGUAGACGAAACGCGCGUCUGGCGUAUAUAUAAAAUUUUGUCCUGGUAUCUUUGAUGAGUUUAUAGUCUCAAAACACAAUAUUAAAAGAAAGAUUGAGUCCGACGAACCCAAAAGCCGAGGUUGGAGAUAUUGGAAG